AUUAUGCUUCAAAAAUUUUGCUCGUUGACGGAAGUUCACGACUUUCGUUUUAUUUUGUAAACUAGUGUAAUAGGGGGACUCACAGAUUAAAUUUCUGCGUAAGCUAUGAUAUUCUCCUUAUGUGAAAUGUUUCAUGAUUUUGCGAAUGAAAUAAUCAAAGAUUGCCUUGGUGAUCGCGACGUUUAAUCAGAAUAAACUUCAAUAAGCGGUUUACGCUAUUAAGUGAAUCCCCCUAAUGUUUUUAACAGUUUAAUUCUUCAUUACACCAACGAACCUAACCAUAAAAUAACUGACAAUUCUGAGGUCAUUUUGACAGAUUUAACAUGAGCAUGAAAAGGACGGCAACUUGAUCGAUAAAGUAGAAUAUAUGAUCCGUCUUUUUCGUGCAUGUGUGUGGUCUGUCAAAAUGACCUGAGAAUUGUAAGACAUUUUCAUGGCUAGCUUUGUUGGUGUAAUGAAGAAUUCACUGAGUUCUUCACUCAGUACUGACAGAAACUCACUUUUGAACAAGGAAUAUUGUAAAAAAAAAUGCUUGUUUUAAUAUAAAAUUCAAACUAACAUAUUCCUCACGGCUUCUUCCAUCAUGUUCACACUCCUAGGAUUUAAAUUUAUGAUGUUUUUCAAAGAUCUGAUGGGUUUUUCAGGGCACCAUCGAUGUUACCUACGCCAAAUUGAAAAUGUGAUUCACGCUUACAGUAUGCGACAGGAAAAAAUGCGAAAGUGUUUUUCAACUUCAAACCUCAUUUUCGUCCAUUUGACAUUAACCAAUCUAUGUUUCAACGUUCCAUGAUCUAUAAUAGGCUAGUUUUCUGAAAAGUUAAUUAAAAAAUUUCCCAUUUUGGUCACUAACCUUUACAGGGCGGCGCCUGAAGAUGAAGACAACCAGAAUUUUCAAACCGCAGAAAAUCGCACAGGUCGCUAAAUUUCGCAUCUGAUAAAACAAAAAGAAGAAACGUCAAAAUCCCAUACAAAAUCAAAACAAUGCAGUGCCCUAUAUGACAAACUUGCUGUACCCGGCAAACUUUGUCUUGCCUACUGCGUUUUUUGACGUUUCAAGUCUCUAGCCUAGUCAAAGUCCCCGUUCAAAAUGUAUGGAAACCCGAUUGACUCUCAAUUUUCCCACGUUUUUCGCCUCGUAAAUCUUCCUUGGGUAUAUAUUAGACCUGUUCACUUUUUUUGACCUACCCGUGUCACAUCAAAUUAUCAAUCCACAUGCAAAAACAAGUCUUCAGUCCAAAAUUGAGCCAAAUUGAUAAAGGUUUAGAGGUGUAUCAAAUCAAUUUUGUGUUUUUUCGAGAAUUUUCACGAAAAUGUACUCCAAUAUCCAGAAAAUUGCACCGAAAAGGUACAGAAAACACCGUUAAAAUAUAGUUGGAACAAUACUCUACAACUUUGCCGAAGACACUACGGUGUUUAAAUUGCUUAUUUCAAAGUUAUUCAACAAAUUUCGUUGAAAAAUCGCGAAAAAAUACAAUAUUUUUUCGGUUUUUCAUGUAAAAGUCAUGUAAAUUUACAUUGUUUUAAGUGACUAAUUUAAUUAGCUAUUGCUCCUAUGCGUUACGAACAUUUCGUCCAUACAUCAUUUUAGUGUAGGAAUUCGUUUUCAUUGACUAAUUAUCAAAAGUAUGUCACGUUGAUACUAAAAAUCGCAUAGAGUUGCCAGCACAAAAUUAAACAAAGUUACCCAUGAUUAAAACGUCAUUACAUUUCUUUGUCGCAUCUGCAUCAGUUUCAAUUUGGUGUAGAUGGUUGAGCAUGAGACUGCCGAUUCGAAGAUUCAAGGUUCGACCCUGGAAUAGAAUUUUUUGCGUCUCGAUCCAGCUAUAAGUUAAUGAGACUACACUCCGCAUCUCAUUGCAAUUUGGCAUCAUAGCCUUGUUUCGAAACCGUAGAGUGCAUAGUAAGAAUGAAGUUUCCCUUUAUCGUGGCUAGAUAGAUGCAAGUAAUCUCCACAGUUGUAUGAUACAUUUUGCAUCCAGAAGCAGUUCCAUCAUCGUAUUGAAUUGUUUUAGCUAAAUUAAUCGGUAUCAAACAGAUGUCCAAUAUUUCGUCCAGCUGAUCUUGUCGACACGAUUUCUUGUCAACAAGUAAACUAAAUAUCGAGCUAGUCCUGGAAUGGGCUUAAUUGGCAGGUCCCGAUCAUCAUUAUUUGGGAGAUUGCGUGUAAGUCAUGGGCCAUGGCUCAUGACAGAUUCAUCAUCCUAACUGCUACAAAGAAAGAAAAAAAAGUUUAUUAUGUAUUUGAGCUUGAACCUGGGACCUUCUGAUCCGCAGGCUCGAGCCUUAUCAUCUGCGCCAUUUCUGAUACUUGAAUCGAAAGACAUUACAAUACGAUGGCAUGACGUCUUAAUCAUGGGUAACUUUGUUUUAAUUCGCGCUGGCAACUCUACGCGAUUUUUAGUAUCAACGUGACAUACUUUUGAUAAUUAGGCAUUGAAAACGAAUUCCAACACAAAAACGAUGUAUGGACGAAAUGUUCGUUACACAAAGGAGAAAUAGCUAAUUAAUUUAGUCACGUAAAAUAUUGUAAAAUUACAUGACUUUUAUAUGUAAAAUCGUAAAAAUAUCGUGUUUUUUUUCGUGAUUUUUCAACUAAAAUUAUUGAAUAGCUUCGAAAUAAGCAAUUUAAACACCGUAGUAUCUUCGGCAAAGUUGUAGAGUAUUGUACUAACUAUAUCCUAACGGUAUUUUCGGCACCCUUUCGGAGCAAUUUUCUGGAUUUAUGAGUAAAUUUCUGUGAAAACGGUUAAAAAAACACAAAAUCGAUUUGAUACACCUUUAAAUCUUUAUCAAUUUGGCUCAAUUUUGGACUGAAGACUUGUUUUUGCAUGUGGAUUGAUAAUUUGUUGUGUCACGGAGAAUCUGAGAAAAAAGUUUCAAAGUGAACAGGUCUAGUAUAUAUAGAUAUAGAUUAUGGAUCACCCAAAAUAUUUCAAAUGAUUCGAUUUUUCAAUUGCAAUUGAUAACUGAGACCCCAGUACUUAUUUAAAAAAUAUAAAAAUAGAGAAAAUACUGUUACAUGUAAAAAUAUAAGGUAAAUUGUUGAAAAACUAUUAAAGUUGCCCCGUUUUGCUAUACCUAAUUAUCUUUGUUUUGGAGUGUAGAGAUUUAAAAAAGACAACAUAACAAUUCUUACUUAUACCAAUAUCAGCGUAAUUUAUCUUUUUUAUUCCACUAGUGUUGCAUGUGUACCGAAAGCUUUUCAAGCAAACCGCAUGUCAUCAAUCUAUAAGUAAAAGGAGUUUCUUUCCGAUAAAAAGCCACACAAUACGAGUUAUUGAUAAAAAGUUUUUCAUUUUUCUUUAUUCUCCGGUUUCGUCUUUCGGUUUCAAAAUUUAGCUCCUGUGUAUUUCAUGUUCGUUCGCGAUCGUUUUCUUCUGCACAUGAGGAGGAGAGCGUUACAAAGCAUAUGCAUAUAUGAUUCCUCUGUUUAUUAGCCGAGUAAACGACCGUACUUUACUGUUGGUUCGAUCAAAUGACUAUUAAAUAUUUUUUUUUUGCUGCUUCUAUUGACUCAAGGUGUAUACCUUAAAAUGUGUGUAAUUUGUUUGUGUGUUUGUAAAGUGUACGUGGUGGUGAUAAAUGUUCGGCUGUUGUAAGGUUUUUAGUUGAUUUUUUUUUGUUUCGUGUAUAUGUAUAUAUUUAUAUUAUACUCAAUGAGGCUGGCAUUUUAGUGAUUGUGAUUUUUCUUGGUUUCGGUCGAUUCCUUCGUAUUUAUUUCUAUUUUAGUAGCACACAAGAAAUAGUUGUUUUUUUUUCAAUUUAGCGUUGGCGGCUUUUCUGAACGUUUGCUAUGAUGUGGUGUGUGUGGGCUUCGUAAUGUUUUUUUUUUCGAAUAGUAUGAUAAGGUAAAUAUGGAACACAGAGUUACUGUUUCACUACAAAUAGCACGUCACGUCACGCACACGCACACUCGCGCGCACAAACAGGCUUUAAUCGGGUUCACAAAAUACAUCUUCCCUUCAAAAAAUGGGGGAAGUGGUUUAGCCGUGCUUUCUAGGCUUUUCCUGUUUUCUUUUUGUUCGCCAUCGAGCAGAGUUCAGUUCUUUUAAGUACUUUUUCCUUACUAUACGAUUGUUCAACUCUUUUGGUUGUGACUUUUGUUCGCUUCAUUGAAGACCGAUCCACCUAAAAGCUACGUAUGGUAUCCUAAACACAUUAACGUGGGACUAAACCCAAACAAUAAUAAUAAUAAGCGCCUUAUGAAACAUACUAUCACUGCCAAGAGAGAAGAGGGAUUCCACUUUUUGCCUUUUUUUCAUGUUUCCUAAACAUUCUACGAGAAAUAAUUUAAAAAAGAGGAUAGCACACAUUUCUACAUAAAC